rnacentral:rRNA from 1 species
UACAGAGGGGGGCGAGCGUUGUUCGGAAUUACUGGGCGUAAAGGGCGCGUAGGUGGCCUGUUAAGUCGAACGUGAAAUCCCCGGGCUCAACCCCGGGAACUGCGUCCGAGACUGGCAGGCUCGAAUCCGGGAGAGGGAUGUGGAAUUCCAGGUGUAGCGGUGAAAAUGCGUAGAUAUCUGGAGGAACACCGGUGGCGAAGGCGGCAUCCUGGACCGGUAUUGACGCUGAGGCGCGAAAGCCAGGGGAGCAAAGCGGG